rnacentral:lncRNA from 1 species
GGCGUUAAUCACAGCAAGUGCUAGAUCAUCGACUUUAACCGGUGGAGCCAAGAUGAGAUCAGACGCAGGGAGAGACCUCAACGGUCUAAUGAACCGCUCUGCAGCAUCGUAGAUCUUGUCUAGUGGCUCCCCGACCAGGUCAAGCGGGACCUCAAAUCCGUUCAACCGCUCUGCAGCAUCGUAGAUUUUGUCUAGUGGCUCCCCGACCAGAUCAAGCGGGACCUCAAAUCCGUUCACUUUUCUUUUCCCAUAUAUGAAACCUGGUCUCAGCACAACUCC